AUUGAACGCUGGCGGCAGGCCUAACACAUGCAAGUCGAACGGCAGCACAGAAGAGCUUGCUCUUUGGGUGGCGAGUGGCGGACGGGUGAGUAAUGUCUGGGAAACUGCCCGAUGGAGAGGGAUAACUACUGGAAACGGUAGCUAAUACCGCAUAACGUCGCAAGACCAAAGUGGGGGACCUUCGGGCCUCACACCAUCGGAUGUGCCCAGAUGGGAUUAGCUAGUAGGUGGGGUAAUGGCUCACCUAGGCGACGAUCCCUAGCUGGUCUGAGAGGAUGACCAACCACACUGGAACUGAGACACGGUCCAGACUCCUACGGGAGGCAGCAGUGGGGAAUAUUGCACAAUGGGCGCAAGCCUGAUGCAGCCAUGCCGCGUGUAUGAAGAAGGCCUUCGGGUUGUAAAGUACUUUCAGCGGGGAGGAAGGCGGUGAGGUUAAUAACCUUGCCGAUUGACGUUACCCGCAGAAGAAGCACCGGCUAACUCCGUGCCAGCCGCCGCAGUAACAC
rnacentral:rRNA from 1 species